CUCCUUACCACAAUCAAUCAGUAUGGCAAAAAUAAUCUCUGCUCAGAGGGCCUUAGAAAUAAUUUUUGUAGAGAGAGAAAAUUAUUCUGGACUGCACUAAUUUGGAUGGAAGGCAUGUUUUUGGAGAGAGAUGCAUACUUUGGGGUUCUUAUCCUUGCUGGUGUUUUCAGAUCCAAUGGGAAAUCCAUCGAAUCCCUGUGGGAUGCAGAAACUGGCACAGAACUUUUCCAUGCAACAAUGUCUCUGGAAAACUUCACAUUAUUUCUAGGAUUAUCCACUUCGAUAACCAGGACACCAGACCAGCUCGGCGGUAGAGAGACAAGCUAACUGCAAUCAGGUCAGUGUGGGACAAGUGGGUGGACCACCUUCCCCUGUUUUACAACGCUGGGCCCAAUGUUACUGUUGAUGAGCAGCUCAUGCCAUUUAGGGGCCGCUGCCCCUUCAGGCGAUACAUACCGUCUAAACCCGCAAAAUAUUUAAUCAAGAUCUGGGCUGCCUGUGAUGCUGCUUCAUCAUAUGUGUGGAACUUUAAAAAAAAAAAAAUAUUUAACCUUAAUUAAACUAGGCAAGUCAGUUAAGAACAAAUUCUUGUUUACAUUGACGGCCUACCCCGGCCAAACCCGGACAACGCUGGGCCAAUUGUACGCCACCCUAUGGGACUCCCAAUCACGGCCGGAAGUGAUGCAGAUUGGAUUGGAAGAGGAGCUGGGCAAGGCAUUGGUAAGACCACAAAUCCAGAGGAGGCAUCAGAUCCCAAGGACCCCAGCUUCUGCAGCCAUCAUGAGGAGGAUUCAGGAGGAGGAUGCUGGUGCCCCAUUCCCCCGACCCACAGAACCAACAACUCCAAUACAGUAUGUAUUGCUGCCGGUAGCAACAAGAAGAAGUGCUGUGAUGUGUGUGGACCCAAGAAGGACAGGAAGACACAGUACACAUGCAUCAAGUGCAGUAAAUACAUUUGCAACACACACACAGUAAAACUCUGUCCCUCAUGUGGUGUGUAGACCGGCCAUAAUUUGUGUUCAAUGGGGC
rnacentral:lncRNA from 1 species